GGAGCACUGAAGAUCAUCAGCUUAUCUCUCAAAAUGAAACUGGACUGGUUCCAGGUCACUACUUGUGGGUGAAUGGUGCAUCUGUAUUAUCUAAUGCAAUCAGUGAGAACCAAAAAACUCGUUUUAAGAUCCACGCUGUCCAGGAGGUUGACGCAAAUGGAAAAGCUCAUCAAGUUGUCAUUUUAGAGAAUAAAAGUGGAAGCGUUGUGGCAAUAAACAAGGACAAUGACACUGUCAUUGCCAAGGAUCUUCCUAAACCUCCAAGCCAAUACAACAAUCUUGAACAAGUUAGAGAAGACAGUCCAGAGGUGCUGUUCUACAAGGUGGCAAGGGAACCUGGCAGUGAGCUGUUUUACUUCAAGUCUUAUCUCAAAGAUAAACGACGCAUCCUCGGUUUUGAUCAAUCUGGAGAACCUUUAAACACAUCUCAAGUAGAUUCAAAUGGGGAGGAAAGUUGGUUUUCGGUGAUAUAAAAUCUCUUGUAAGUGCAAAAUUAAAGUUACAGUUAAGAGAUAUUUUCUAAACAGUAAAUUCCUGUGAGGAAAUUGUUUUGCUUAUUUUAAGCUGUCAUAUCCAGGGUCAGUUUGACCACAAAGCUCAUGAACUUUAGUAUAUAGUAACACAUAGAUUUUAAUGUCUGUUUUAGGAUAGAAUAACUAUUGAUUGAAAAUGUAAUUUUAUACAUCUUGGGAAAAUAUUUUUUCAUAAAACAAGAAUUAAAAUUAGGGAAUGUUUUGCUAAAUAUGUUAUAAUGAAUAUCACUUUGAUGCCAAAGUAACUUAAAAAAAAUAUAUAUUUAAAGAUGAAUUUUUGAGAAAAGUGACCGAUUUUGAGCUAUUAGUGAAUUACAGUUUAUAAUUAAUUUGAGAUAUGUCAUAUUCUUGUAAUAAACUAUCAAAAUACUUAACUAUAGAUUUUUCAUUUUGGUACUGAUUCUCUGCAAAAGCUAGAAAAGGUUACUGGACUAUUUUAAAAAUAGAAAAACCUCUGAUCAGUUUCUGUAAGACAUGCAUGCAGUUGUGAACAUGUUGGUAAAAAUCUUGAAACAAAAAGAUCUUUGAUAAAUCAAUUUAUGAUUUA